UGCGUAGGCGGAAUGAUAAGUUAGUGGUGAAAUCCUCCGGCUCAACCGGAGCACUGCCAUUAAUACUGUCAUUCUUGAGUAUAGUUGAAGUGGGCGGAAUGUAUCAUGUAGCGGUGAAAUGCUUAGAUAUGAUACAGAACACCGAUAGCGUAGGCAGCUUGCUAAACUAUAACUGACGCUCAGGCACGAAAGCGUGGGGAGCAAACAGGAUUAGAUACCCUGGUAGUCC
rnacentral:rRNA from 1 species